rnacentral:rRNA from 1 species
GGCGAACGCUGGCGGCGUGCUUAACACAUGCAAGUCAUACGGUAAGGCCCUUUCGGGGGUACACGAGUGGCGAACGGGUGAGUAACACGUGAGUAACCUGCCCACAACUUUGGGAUAACGCUAGGAAACUGGUGCUAAUACUGGAUAUGUGCUCCUGCUGCAUGGUGGGGGUUGGAAAGCUCCGGCGGUUGUGGAUGGACUCGCGGCCUAUCAGCUUGUUGGUGGGGUAGUGGCCUACCAAGGCGGCGACGGGUAGCCGGCCUGAGAGGGUGACCGGCCACAUUGGGACUGAGAUACGGCCCAGACUCCUACGGGAGGCAGCAGUGGGGAAUAUUGCACAAUGGGCGCAAGCCUGAUGCAGCAACGCCGCGUGCGGGAUGACGGCCUUCGGGUUGUAAACCGCUUUCAGCAGGGACGAAGCUUUUUGUGACGGUACCUGCAGAAGAAGCACCGGCUAACUACGUG